GUGGCAUAAUUGUUAUGCAUUAGGUUGCUAACCUGAAGGUUGGUGGUAGGAACCCACCC
rnacentral:tRNA from 1 species